UACGGAGGGGGCGAGCGUUAUUCGGAAUUAUUGGGCGUAAAGGGCGCGUAGGCGGCUUGACAAGUCAAAGGUGAAAUCCCUCGGCUCAACUGAGGAACUGCCUUUGAAACUGUCUGGCUUGAGGCCGGGAGGGGGUAGCGGAAUUCCCAGUGUAGCGGUGAAAUGCGCAGAUAUCAGGAGGAACACCGGUGGCGAAGGCGGAUCUCUGGGCCAUUACUGACGCUGAGGAGCGAAAGCGUGGGGAGCGAACAGG
rnacentral:rRNA from 1 species